rnacentral:rRNA from 1 species
GAUCCUGGCUCAGGAUGAACGAUAGCGGCAGGCUUAACACAUGCAAGUCGAGGGGCAGCAUAAUGGAUAGCAAUAUCUAUGGUGGCGACCGGCGCACGGGUGCGUAGCGCGUAUGCAACCUACCUUUAACAGGGGGAUAACACUGAGAAAUUGGUACUAAUACCCCAUAAUAUCAUAGAAGGCAUCUUUUAUGGUUGAAAAUUCCGAUGGUUAGAGAUGGGCAUGCGUUGUA